GAGUUUGAUUCUGGCUCACAACGAACGCUGGCGGCGUGGAUAAGACAUGCAAGUCGGACGAGGAACUCUUAGCUUGCUUUGGGUUCCUAGUGGCGGACGGGUGAGUAACACGUGAGUCACCUGCCCGGAAGAAGGGGAUAGCCCGAGGAAACUCGGAUUAAUACCCUAUGUGGUCGCAAGAUCAAAGGUGCCUUCGGGUGCCGCUUCCGGAUGGGCUCGCGGCCUAUCAGCUUGUUGGUGAGGUAACGGCUCACCAAGGCUACGACGGGUAGCUGGUCUGAGAGGAUGACCAGCCACACUGGAACUGAGACACGGUCCAGACACCUACGGGUGGCAGCAGUCGAGAAUCAUUCACAAUGGGCGAAAGCCUGAUGGUGCGACGCCGCGUGGAGGAUGACGGUCCUAGGAUUGUAAACUCCUGUCAUCAGGGAGUAAAGCUCAGGGGUUAAUAGCCCUUCGAGCCUGAUAGUACCUGAAGAGGAAGGGGCGGCUAACUCCGUGCCAGCAGCCGCGGUAACACGGAGGCCCCGAGCGUUGUUCGGAUUUACUGGGCGUAAAGAGUACGUAGGCGGCUGGGUAAGUCAGAUGUGAAAGCCCGGGGCUCAACCCCGGAAUUGCAUCCGAUACUGCUCGGCUCGAGGAUUGGAGAGGAAGCUGGAAUUCACGGU
rnacentral:rRNA from 1 species